rnacentral:rRNA from 1 species
UACGGAGGAUGCAAGCGUUAUCCGGAAUGAUUGGGCGUAAAGGGUCCGCAGGUGGCAAUGUGUGUCUGCUGUCAAAGAAUGAGGCUUAACCUCAUCAAGGCAGUGGAAACUACAUAGCUAGAGUACGGUCGGGGUAGAAGGAAUUCCUGGUGUAGCGGUGAAAUGCAUAGAGAUCAGGAAGAACACCGGUGGCGAAAGCGUUCUGCUAGACCUGUACUGACACUGAGGGACGAAAGCUAGGGGAGCGAAUGGG